GUAACGAAUUUAUGUUACGACUAUGAUUUACGCAUGUCGUUGUAUUUGGUUCUUGUCUUGUGGAGUCCAGUGUCUGAUGUCAUAUAUGGUCUAGGUGUACGCGUGAGCAUGGUGUGAUGUGUGACGUUUAUGGUAUGUGGUGCAUGCAGGAGUACGCGUUGUCAGAGUGUGAGGAUGUGCUUCCGUCUGUGUGAGAGUGACUGUCAAGUGAAUGCAGUACAUGCGCAGUGCUAGUUUGGUCUGGGAAUGAGAGUCGUGUGUGAUUCGUCCGUGGUCUGGUUGUCUUGGUCUUGGUCAUGUGUUCUGUACGUAUUAGUCCCUGAUUGGUCGUCACGAUUUGUCCUCGGUUUAUUACUGCUUGUUCUUUGUUGGUCCUCUGAGUCUUUUCCCGGGAGUCUUUCCUGUUGUCCUUCCUGUCGUCUCCAAGUUUCGUCUUUCUCCUCCUGUGCCCUUUCCGUUUGUAUAAGAAGUCAGAAACUCCACCAAGUUGUUUGAGCUGUUGUGUGACAGGGGCCAGGGGGAGAAGGCAAUACUAUUUCCUUUACAUUGGCGCCCAACGUUCGCUCGACGCAGGGUACUAUCUCUGCAGCCCACGACCCUGGGAUCGUUUUGUUUUCACGGCCAUGGAGAUGGAAAGGCGUUCGCCAGCCUGGCCUGCAGGCCCCUUACCCGCCGUACAAGGUUGCCAUACGCGGAUUUCUCCAAGAUUCUGCACGGCUUCCUAUUCCAACUCGGAUCACGCAUCUCUGGCCACAACAUUCCGAUGUCUUAUCGUUUGGUUGUGUUUCCCCUUGUUUCUUUUCUCUGAUCUUUGUCCUUUGUUCUGAGAGUCGAGGUCGACUCUCGCCGGAGGGGAAGGCUGUGUAACGAAUUUAUGUUACGACUAUGAUUUACGCAUGUCGUUGUAUUUGGUUCUUGUCUUGUGGAGUCCAGUGUCUGAUGUCAUAUAUGGUCUAGGUGUACGCGUGAGCAUGGUGUGAUGUGUGACGUUUAUGGUAUGUGGUGCAUGCAGGAGUACGCGUUGUCAGAGUGUGAGGAUGUGCUUCCGUCUGUGUGAGAGUGACUGUCAAGUGAAUGCAGUACAUGCGCAGUGCUAGUUUGGUCUGGGAAUGAGAGUCGUGUGUGAUUCGUCCGUGGUCUGGUUGUCUUGGUCUUGGUCAUGUGUUCUGUACGUAUUAGUCCCUGAUUGGUCGUCACGAUUUGUCCUCGGUUUAUUACUGCUUGUUCUUUGUUGGUCCUCUGAGUCUUUUCCCGGGAGUCUUUCCUGUUGUCCUUCCUGUCGUCUCCAAGUUUCGUCUUUCUCCUCCUGUGCCCUUUCCGUUUGUAUAAGAAGUCAGAAACUCCA